GUAGGUGAACCUGCGGAAGGAUCAUUAAUGAAAUUAUAAUCCGGCGAGGGGAAGGACGAGAGUUGUCGCUGGCCUUUCGCGAGGCAUGUGCACGCUUUCUUCUGGACUUUCGCCGUAUGGGCGCGGGGCGACCCGCGUCUUCAUGCACCUCUUCGUGUAGAAAGUCUUCGAAUGUUAUACUAUCAUCGAGUCGCGACUUCUAGGAGACGCGGUUCUUUGAGACAAAAGUUAUUACAACUUUCAGCAACGGAUCUCUUGGCUCUC
rnacentral:misc_RNA from 1 species